CGUGCUUAACACAUGCAAGUCGAACGAUGAACCCGGAGCUUGCUCCGGUGGAUUAGUGGCGAACGGGUGAGUAACACGCGUGGGAAUAUGCCCUUCGGUUCGGAAUAACACAGGGAAACUUGUGCUAAUACCGGAUACGAUCUACGGAUGAAAGAUUUAUCGCCGAGGGAGUAGCCCGCGUAGGAUUAGCUAGUUGGUGAGGUAAUGGCUCACCAAGGCGACGAUCCUUAGCUGGUCUGAGAGGAUGAUCAGCCACACUGGGACUGAGACACGGCCCAGACUCCUACGGGAGGCAGCAGUGGGGAAUAUUGGACAAUGGGCGAAAGCCUGAUCCAGCCAUGCCGCGUGAGUGAUGAAGGCCUUAGGGUUGUAAAGCUCUUUCGCCAGGGAAGAUAAUGACGGUACCUGGAAAAGAAGCCUCGGCUAACUCCGUGCCAGCCGCCGCGGUAA
rnacentral:rRNA from 1 species